rnacentral:rRNA from 1 species
UACGGGGGGGGCAAGCGUUGUUCGGAGUUACUGGGCGUAAAGGGCGCGUAGGCGGCCUGCUAAGUCGGACGUGAAAUCCCUCGGCUCAACCGGGGAACUGCCUUCCAGACUGCUUUGCUUGAGGCCGGGAGAGGUGAGUGGAAUUCCCAGUGUAGCGGUGAAAUGCGUAGAUAUUGGGAGGAACACCAGUGGCGAAGGCGGCUCACUGGACCGGUUCUGACGCUGAGGCGCGAAAGCGUGGGGAGCAAACGGG